rnacentral:lncRNA from 1 species
AAAUUCAUCACCAAGAUACCAAAUUUUUUCCUUUAUGAGCAGCUGUCAAUCAUGAUGAGAAUAAACCUGGGAAAACCAUUCUAAAUAACAUAACCCAGCUUCAUGAUUCAUGCCAACAGCUCUCCACUCUAGUUUAUUGUAGCCAGUUGCCUCUUGAGCUGUAAGAAAUCAAGUGUCAGAUAUAAACCAGCUAUCAACCAAUGCCUCUUUAUGGUUUCUUUUGCUAAAGCUAUCACCUAAUCACCCUUAUAUAUACAUUGAGGUCCUGAAGAAAGUUCCCCAACCACUUCCACUUUUUUACUAGAGCAAAAAUUCUAACCAUAGAAAAGUCUUUCAGUGUCCUCAACUCUUGUUUGAUUAACAGUUAGUAAGUCCUACACCUCAAGUUAUUCUAUUCUAAUUCAUAAUUACUUUGAACUUCACCUAUUACAUGCCAUUCUUUAAGGAACAUAUAGCCUGUCUUUCAAUAUCUUCAUGCUUAAUCAAGCAUUUUGUAUUCCCCAACAAUUUCAUACACUGGUGCAUGUCCUCAAGAGAAUCAAAUCCAACUACCUGACAAAGAGCAACAUCUUUUUAAUGUUGACAAACUCAGCUCCAACUCCUGUUUACCAAUAGAGUAAUUUGGGAGUAUUCAAAAGGCAAUGUUAGCUUGGAAGGUUGAUGGGAAUCUCAGGACUCAAUCUGUGCAAUAAUUCAAUGAGCCUAAAGCUAUAUAAUCAUUGGCAUCUUUUUCUUUGUUUAAGCAUACCUGUAGGCAGGACACCUUGAUUCUUGCAAGGGCCUGCUAAAAUUUGGAGGAAAUGGUCAGAUGUCAGCCACAAAACAAAGCAUAUGGUGGGUUUCAUUUUGGACAAUCAACUACAUCCAUUUGACAUAAGAGGCCCUUCAAAUGAUUGUUCAUGGUACCUCUUGAACAAUUCUCUAUCCUAAGCAUACCAACCAUAAGAGAAAUUUGACCUCCAAUACUGAUAUCACCGACACAAUGUGAGCUAUCGUUUGCUUCUUGAUUGGGGUCUUCGAGCUGUCUGUGAUGAAGUCAUCAGAACAAUUCUUUGUGGAAACAUACAAAGCUGGAGCAAAUAACAACUGCUUCAUUUGCAUUAGGCAACUUUAAUUGCCAGCUUUU